rnacentral:lncRNA from 1 species
UAGGAAAACGAUAAACCUACUAGCAUGCUCGUCUAAGCGCAAUUAAUAAACAAAUAUUAACAAGCAAAGACGUGCAAAAGCAGGUAAAGAGCAUAAGGGAUUAACAACCACGACAUGCAAAGAACAUAAUUAAAGAAUUAAAAAUUCUUCGUGACCCAUUCGUGGAAACCCAACAUCUAUUCUAUUUUAAAAGAAAAUAAAAUAAAUAAAAAUGGACAAAAAAAUGCCCAAAACCGCCUAAACAGGCUGAAAAAACGAACCAGCCCUUGCUUAGGCCCAAAACACGCGGCCCAGCCGCACAGGCCCGUCCAGCAGCUGCCAAAACCGUGAUUGGGCCAAAAAAACACCCAGCGCACAGGCCCAGCCCGGGCAAUAGGCCCAAACUCGCGGUCAA